UAGCAAACUUCUCAAAGAAAAACAAAAGACUCUCCAUUCUCUCUAUCACUCUCCUCCUCAGCAUGAUCGCGGUGGGAGCUCCGACGGCCGGAACUCAAAAAACCUCCCUCUUUUUGGCCGAAUCGAAGAACUAGCUAUCACUGUUGCUUGUGUGUAGGUGCAACUUAAGGGCGGUGGACGUGACAAGGUAGCAGCAGCAAGCGGUGCAGAGGCUAGGGUGGCAAUGGUGGCUGAUUAGAAGACCUAAGGGCUAGGGUUUCUUUUUUGUUUUGUUUUUUUUUUUUCUGUUAUUGGGCUGAUGGUUUUUAAUUGGGUUUUGGUUUGAUAUUGGUUUGGGGUUUGUUAGGUUUAGUUUGGUUUGGGCUUUAUUUUGGCUCAGGCUAAAAUUGGACUGUACAAUAUGAAUAAAAAAUAAAAAUAUGUAAAUUUUAUAUUUAAAAAUUUUAUGUAAAAAUCAAUUACUCUUUUAAGUUAAAA